GGCCGUAACUAUAACGGUCCUAAGGUAGCGAAAUUCCUUGUCGGGUAAGUUCCGACCUGCACGAAUGGCGUAACGACAGCGGCGCUGUCUCCACCCGAGACUCAGUGAAAUUGAAAUCGCUGUGAAGAUGCAGCGUUCCCGCGGCAAGACGGAAAGACCCCGUGAACCUUUACUAUAGCUUUACACUGAACGUUGAGUUCUUCUGUGUAGGAUAGGUGGGAGGCUACGAAACGCAGACGCCAGUUUGCGUGGAGCCAUCCUUGAAAUACCACCCUGAAGUGCUUGACGUUCUAACCUCGGCCCGUCAUCCGGGUCAGGGACCGUGUAUGGUGGGUAGUUUGACUGGGGCGGUCUCCUCCCAAAGCGUAACGGAGGAGCACGAAGGUACGCUCAGCGCGGUCGGACAUCGCGCACUGUGUGCAAAGGCAUAAGCGUGCUUGACUGCAAGAUCGACGGAUCAAGCAGGUACGAAAGUAGGUCUUAGUGAUCCGGUGGUUCUGUAUGGAAGGGCCAUCGCUCAACGGAUAAAAGGUACUCCGGGGAUAACAGGCUGAUACCGCCCAAGAGUUCAUAUCGACGGCGGUGUUUGGCACCUCGAUGUCGGCUCAUCACAUCCUGGGGCUGUAGUCGGUCCCAAGGGUAUGGCUGUUCGCCAUUUAAAGUGGUACGCGAGCUGGGUUCAGAACGUCGUGAGACAGUUCGGUCCCUAUCUGUCGUGGGCGUUGGAGAUUUGAGGGGGGCUGCUCCUAGUACGAGAGGACCGGAGUGGACGUUCCGCUGGUGUUCGGGUUGUCAUGCCAAUGGCAUUGCCCGGUAGCUAUGAACGGAAGCGAUAACCGCUGAAAGCAUCUAAGCGGGAAGCGCGCCCCAAGAUGAGAUCUCCCGAGAGCUCGACUCUCCUCAAGGCACCAUCUAGACCAGGUGGUUGAUAGGCGCGAUGUGGAAGUGCAGCAAUGCAUUGAGCUUACGCGUACUAAUGCGCCGUGCGGCUUGACCAU
rnacentral:rRNA from 1 species